rnacentral:rRNA from 1 species
AACGGCCGCGGUAUCUUGACCGUGCAAAGGUAGCGCAAUCACUUGUCUUUUAAAUGAAGACCUGUAUGAAUGGCAUAACGAGGGCUUAACUGUCUCCUUUUUCCUAUCAAUGAAAUUGAUCUCCCCGUGCAGAAGCGGGGAUAAAUACAUAAGACGAGAAGACCCUAUGGAGCUUAAAACGCAAGAACAGAACACGCUCAUUCACAUAAUUAAAAAAAUGAAAUCAACUGUAAACCUGUUCAAAUGUUUUUGGUUGGGGCGACCGCGGAGUAUUAUAAAACCUCCAUGAGGAAUGAAGUUAUUCCUUUUAAUUUAAGGGUGACAACCCUAAAAAACAGAAUUUCUGACCACAUUGAUCCGGCAAUGCCGAUCAACGAACCGAGUUACCCUAGGGAUAACAGCGCAAUCCUCUUUUAGAGUCCAUAUCGACAAGAAGGUUUACGACCUCGAUGUUGGAUCAGGACAUCCUAAU